rnacentral:rRNA from 1 species
AGUGAACGCUGGCGGUAGGCCUAACACAUGCAAGUCGAACGGCAGCACAGUAAUAGCUUGCUCUUACGGGUGGCGAGUGGCGGACGGGUGAGGAAUACAUCGGAAUCUACUUUUUCGUGGGGGAUAACGUAGGGACACUUACGCUAAUACCGCAUACGACCUACGGGUGAAAGCAGGGGAUCUUCGGACCUUGCGCGAUUGAAUGAGCCGAUGUCGGAUUAGCUAGUUGGCGGGGUAAAGGCCCACCAAGGCGACGAUCCGUAGCUGGUCUGAGAGGAUGAUCAGCCACACUGGAACUGAGACACGGUCCAGACUCCUACGGGAGGCAGCAGUGGGGAAUAUUGGACAAUGGGCGCAAGCCUGAUCCAGCCAUACCGCGUGGGUGAAGAAGGCCUUCGGGUUGUAAAGCCCUUUUGUUGGGAAAGAAAAGCAGCAGGUUAAUACCCCGCUGUUUUGACGGUACCCAAAGAAUAAGCACCGGCUAACUUCGUG